UACGUAGGGGGCGAGCGUUGUCCGGAAUUAUUGGGCGUAAAGAGCUCGUAGGCGGCUUAGUAAGUCGGCGGUGAAAUACCGAGGCUCAACCUCGGCACUGCCGUCGAUACUGCUAUGGCUAGAGUUUGGUAGAGGAGAACGGAAUUCCCGGUGUAGCGGUGGAAUGCGCAGAUAUCGGGAGGAACACCCGUAGCGAAGGCGGUUCUCUGGCCCGGUACUGACGCUGAGGUGCGAAAGCGUGGGGAGCAAACAGG
rnacentral:rRNA from 1 species